CGUGUGCUUUGUGAAGUUGCCCUUGGAAAAGCAAAUUUAUUCAGCAUCAAAAGGAACCAGACUACCAUUCUGCUGUUGGGACGCUGGACGACAAGUAGGAAAAAAAAAAAAAAAGUAAAAAAUAAAACAAAUUGCA